AUGCUUACCUGGCAGCGGAGUCUUAGCCAUGAUCACUAAGGUGGCUCUCUCAGGGCGAGGCUGGUUCAUUGCACUUGGAACCCGCUGACCUUUGCGAUUUCCCCACAUGUGGGAAAUUCAACUGCACAAUUUAUGGCAGUGGGGGACUGUGUGCGCUCUUUCCCCUG